UUUGACCAGAAUCACUCAACAGAUAGAAUUUGAAUCAAACUCUCAAAGACUCUCAUUUUGUUAUAUGUAAAAUGAAGACAUAUACAUCAAUUCUGUGUCCUUGAAGUUUGAAAGCUGUAAUCUGUCAAAUAACUUAGAGAUGGGAAGCUGAGCCAGGAGGAAUUCUUGAACCUGGGAGGCAGAGAUUGUCGUGAGCUGACAUCAUGC